CUUGUUGCCUCGGCGGAUCAGCCCGCUCCCGGUAAAACGGGACGGCCCGCCAGAGGACCCCUAAACUCUGUUUUCUAUAUGUAACUUCUGAGUAAAACCAUAAAUAAAUCAAAACUUUCAACAACGGAUCUCUUGGUUCUGGCAUCGAUGAAGAACGCAGCAAAAUGCGAUAAGUAAUGUGAAUUGCAGAAUUCAGUGAAUCAUCGAAUCUUUGAACGCACAUUGCGCCCGCCAGUAUUCUGGCGGGCAUGCCUGUUCGAGCGUCAUUUCAACCCUCAAGCACAGCUUGGUGUUGGGACUCGCGUUAAUUCGCGUUCCUCAAAUUGAUUGGCGGUCACGUCGAGCUUCCAUAGCGUAGUAGUAAAACCCUCGUUACUGGUAAUCGUCGCGGCCACGCCGUUAAACCCCAACUUCUGAAUGUUGACCUCGGAUCAGGUAGGAAUACCCGCUGAACUUAAGCA
rnacentral:rRNA from 1 species